GCAUUGCAGCAUCCUGGAGUCCUCUCGCCAAGUUUCCAUUGCAUCACUUUGCUGGUUGAAUGGGAAGGGUCAGGAUAAUCCAACGUCUCUGCCUCCUUCCUUCUUCUAUCCUGCCAAUCCCUACACCAGGGAACACUUAACCCAUACCUGCAGGCAUCCCAGGUUCUAAGAGAGACUCCUAAGCAGGAGAUAUACAGGUAUUUUGUACCGCUGUGCAGUGGGGAAAAAACCAAGGACUUGAUUCCAGAAGACCUGGGUUUGAAUCUGGACUCUUACUGGAAAGUCAGAAGAUUUAGACCUGAAAGGAAAACUAGAGAAGCCUUCUUUUCCCCUCUCCUGAUGACGCAGUGGAUUUUCAGCUUGACAUCCCUUCAGUUGGCUUUUCCCCACUUCCUGUCUUCUGUCUUCAACUUUAAAAUUAGUCCUGGGCUAACCAACAGAGAGAGGCCUGGACGGCACCUCUUGGCUCUGGCCCUCGCUCUGUGAGAAUUGGUAGGUAAUUUCACCUAUUGUUUUUGUUUUUCUCAGUUGUAAAAUGAAUCAUAGAUUCAUUU
rnacentral:lncRNA from 1 species